rnacentral:rRNA from 1 species
UACGAAGGGGGCUAGCGUUGCUCGGAAUUACUGGGCGUAAAGGGCGCGUAGGCGGAUGUUUAAGUCGGGGGUGAAAGCCCGGGGCUCAACCUCGGAAUUGCCUUCGAUACUGGACAUCUUGAGUACGGGAGAGGUGAGUGGAACUCCGAGUGUAGAGGUGAAAUUCGUAGAUAUUCGGAAGAACACCAGUGGCGAAGGCGGUUGCCUGGGGCUUUGCUGACGCUGGAGGCGCGAAAGCGUGGGGAGCGAUCCGG